AUACGUAGGGAGCGAGCGUUAUCCGGAUUUAUUGGGCGUAAAGCGUGUGUAGGUGGUUGAUUAAGUCUAAAAUUAAAACCUGAGGCUCAACCUCAGAUCGUUUUAGAAACUGGUCAACUUGAGUAUAGUAGAGGCAAGUGGAAUUUCUAGUGUAGCGGUCAAAUGUGUAGAUAUUAGAAGGAACACCAGUGGCGAAGGCGACUUGCUGGGCUAUUACUGACGCUGAGGCACGAAAGCGUGGGGAGCAAAUAGGAUUAGAUACCCUAGUAGUCCACGCCGUAAACGAUGAGUACUAAGUGUUGGAAUUAUCCAGUGCUGAAGUUAACGCAUUAAGUACUCCGCCUGAGGAGUACGGCCGCAAGGCUAAA
rnacentral:rRNA from 1 species